rnacentral:rRNA from 1 species
UUGGAUAAGUCCUCGAGCUAUUAGUAUUAGUCCGCUACAUGUGUCGCCACACUUCCACUUCUAACCUAUCUACCUGAUCAUCUCUCAGGGCUCUUACUGAUAUAUAAUCAUGGGAAAUCUCAUCUUGAGGUGGGUUUCACACUUAGAUGCUUUCAGCGUUUAUCCCUUCCCUACAUAGCUACCCAGCGAUGCCUUUGGCAAGACAACUGGUACACCAGCGGUAAGUCCACUCUGGUCCUCUCGUACUAGGAGCAGAUCCUCUCAAAUUUCCUACGCCCGCGACGGAUAGGGACCGAACUGUCUCACGACGUUCUGAACCCAGCUCGCGUGCCGCUUUAAUGGGCGAACAGCCCAACCCUUGGGACCGACUACAGCCCCAGGAUGCGACGAGCCGACAUCGAGGUGCCAAACCUCCCCGUCGAUGUGAACUCUUGGGGGAGAUAAGCCUGUUAUCCCCAGGGUAGCUUUUAUCCGUUGAGCGAUGGCCCUUCCAUACGGAACCACCGGAUCACUAAGCCCGACUUUCGUCCCUGCUCGAGUUGUAGCUCUCGCAGUCAAGCUCCCUUAUACCUUUACACUCUGCGAAUGAUUUCCAACCAUUCUGAGGGAACCUUUGGGCGCCUCCGUUACCUUUUAGGAGGCGACCGCCCCAGUCAAACUGCCCGUCAGACACUGUCUCCGAUAGGGAUCACCUAUCUGGGUUAGAGUGGCCAUAACACAAGGGUAGUAUCCCAACAGCGUCUCCUUCGAAACUGGCGUCCCGAUCUCUUAGACUCCUACCUAUCCUGUACAUGUGGUACAGACACUCAAUAUCAAACUGCAGUAAAGCUCCAUGGGGUCUUUCCGUCCUGUCGCGGGUAACCUGCAUCUUCACAGGUACUAAAAUUUCACCGAGUCUCUCGUUGAGACAGUGCCCAAAUCAUUACGCCUUUCGUGCGGGUCGGAACUUACCCGACAAGGAAUUUCGCUACCUUAGGACCGUUAUAGUUACGGCCGCCGUUUACUGGGGCUUCAAUUCAUACCUUCGCUUACGCUAAGCACUCCUCUUAACCUUCCAGCACCGGGCAGGCGUCACCCCCUAUACAUCAUCUUACGAUUUAGCAGAGAGCUGUGUUUUUGAUAAACAGUUGCUUGGGCCUAUUCACUGCGGCUGACUUAAAGUCAGCACCCCUUCUCCCGAAGUUACGGGGUCAUUUUGCCGAGUUCCUUAACGAGAGUUCUCUCGCUCACCUGAGGCUACUCGCCUCGACUACCUGUGUCGGUUUGCGGUACGGGUAGAGUAUGUUUAAACGCUAGAAGCUUUUCUUGGCAGUGUGACGUCACUAACUUCGCUACUAAACUUCGCUCCCCAUCACAGCUCAAUGUUAUAGAAUUAAGCAUUUGACUCAAUUCACACCUCACUGCUUAGACAGACUCUUCCAAUCGUCUGCUUUAGUUAGCCUACUGCGUCCCUCCAUCACUACAUACUCUAGUACAGGAAUAUCAACCUGUUGUCCAUCGGAUACACCUUUCGGUCUCUCCUUAGGUCCCGACUAACCCAGGGCGGACGAGCCUUCCCCUGGAAACCUUAGUCUUACGGUGGACAGGAUUCUCACCUGUCUUUCGCUACUCAUACCGGCAUUCUCACUUCUAUGCGUUCCAGCACUCCUCACGGUAUACCUUCAUCACACAUAGAACGCUCUCCUACCAUACCUAUAAAGGUAUCCACAGCUUCGGUAAAUUGUUUUAGCCCCGGUACAUUUUCGGCGCAGGGUCACUCGACUAGUGAGCUAUUACGCACUCUUUGAAUGAAUAGCUGCUUCUAAGCUAACAUCCUAGUUGUCUGUGCAACCCCACAUCCUUUUCCACUUAACAAUUAUUUUGGGACCUUAGCUGGUGGUCUGGGCUGUUUCCCUUUCGACUACGGAUCUUAGCACUCGCAGUCUGACUGCCGACCAUAAUUCAUUGGCAUUCGGAGUUUAUCUGAGAUUGGUAAUCCGGGAUGGACCCCUCACCCAAACAGUGCUCUACCUCCAAGAAUCUCUAAUGUCGACGCUAGCCCUAAAGCUAUUUCGGAGAGAACCAGCUAUCUCCAAGUUCGUUUGGAAUUUCUCCGCUACCCACAAGUCAUCCAAGCACUUUUCAACGUGCCCUGGUUCGGUCCUCCAGUGCGUCUUACCGCACCUUCAACCUGCUCAUGGGUAGGUCACAUGGUUUCGGGUCUACGUCAUGAUACUAAGGCGCCCUAUUCAGACUCGGUUUCCCUACGGCUCCGUCUCUUCAACUUAACCUCGCAUCAUAACGUAACUCGCCGGUUCAUUCUACAAAAGGCACGCUCUCACCCAUUAACGGGCUCGAACUUGUUGUAGGCACACGGUUUCAGGUUCUAUUUCACUCCCCUCCCGGGGUGCUUUUCACCUUUCCCUCACGGUACUGGUUCACUAUCGGUCACUAGGGAGUAUUUAGGGUUGGGAGAUGGUCCUCCCAGAUUCCGACGGGAUUUCACGUGUCCCGCCGUACUCAGGAUACUGCUAAGUACAAAGACUAUUUUAAAUACGAGGCUAUUACUCUCUUUGGCUGAUCUUCCCAAAUCAUUCUUCUAUAAUCUUUGAGUCCACAUUGCAGUCCUACAACCCCGAAGAGUAAACUCUUCGGUUUGCCCUUCUGCCGUUUCGCUCGCCGCUACUAAGGCAAUCGCUUUUGCUUUCUCUUCCUGCAGCUACUUAGAUGUUUCAGUUCACUGCGUCUUCCUCCUCACAUCCUUAACAGAUGUAGGUAACAGGUAUUACCUGUUGGGUUCCCCCAUUCGGAAAUCCCUGGAUCAUCGCUUACUUACAGCUACCCAAGGCAUAUCGUCGUUUGUCACGUCCUUCGUCGGCUCCUAGUGCCAAGGCAUCCACCGUGCGCCCUUAUUAACUUAA